ensembl:lncRNA
GUGGAAAAGGACACAGCAGGGUGGGAAAAGGGUGGAAAAGGGGAAAAAUUGCAUGAAAAAGGGCAGAAAAAAGGUAAAAUGUGGCAGAAAAUUGCACAGUGGGGGUGGAAAAGGGGCAAAAUGGGGUGGAGAAGAACACAACAGGAUGGAAAAGGGGCAGAAAAGGGGCAAAAUGGAUCAAAAAGGGGCAAAAUGGAGUGGGAAAAGGGCAGCAAAAGGACAGUGGGUGGGAAAAGGGCAGAACAUGGCAGGAAAAUUGAGGCAAAAAGGGCAAAAUGGGUCGGGGAGAGGAUGAAAAAGGGCCAAAAUGGGGCAGAAAAGGGCAAAAAAAGGGCAAAAUGGGGCGGAAAAGGGCCAAAGUGGAAUGGAAAAGGGCACUACAGGGCAGAAAAAGGGCACAGUGGAGCAGGAAAAGGUGGAAAAAAGGCAAAAUGGGGUGAAAAAGGAUAAAAAGGAUCAAAAUGGGGUGGAAAAGGGCAAAAUGGGGGCAAAAUGGGGUGGAAAAAGGGCAGAGCGGGGUGGAAAUGGGGCAGGAAAAGGGUUAAAACGGGGCAGAAAAGGGCCAAAACGGGGUGGAAAAGGGCCAAACGAAGCAGAAAAGGGGCAAAAAGGGGGUGGGAAAAGGGCAAAAUUGCACUUUCUCCCCUUAUUUCCCUCCUCAGACAACCACAGAGCGCCUCGGGGGGGGACAUUCCCCUUUCCCUCCCCAUUUUCCACUGCCCCCCCCCCCCCCCCCCAACCCCCCCCCAUUCCUCCCCCGUUUCCACUUCCCCGCCAUUUUGGGGCUGUUUGGGUUUUUUUUUUUUAU